rnacentral:rRNA from 1 species
AUAUUGCACAAUGGGGGAAACCCUGAUGCAGCGACGCCGCGUGGAGGAAGAAGGUCUUCGGAUUGUAAACUCCUGUUGUUGAGGAAGAUAAUGACGGUACUCAACAAGGAAGUGACGGCUAACUACGUGCCAGCAGCCGCGGUAAAACGUAGGUCACAAGCGUUGUCCGGAAUUACUGGGUGUAAAGGGAGCGCAGGCGGGAGAACAAGUUGGAAGUGAAAUCCAUGGGCUCAACCCAUGAACUGCUUUCAAAACUGUUUUUCUUGAGUAGUGCAGAGGUAGGCGGAAUUCCCGGUGUAGCGGUGGAAUGCGUAGAUAUCGGGAGGAACACCAGUGGCGAAGGCGGCCUACUGGGCACCAACUGACGCUGAGGCUCGAAAGCAUGGGUAGCAAACAGGAUUAGAUACCCUGGUAGUCCAUGCCGUAAACGAUGAUUACUAGGUGUUGGAGGAUUGACCCCUUCAGUGCCGCAGUUAACACAAUAAGUAAUCCACCUGGGGAGUACGACCGCAAGGUUGAAACUCAAAGGAAUUGACGGGGGCCCGCACAAGCAGUGGAGUAUGUGGUUUAAUUCGACGCAACGCGAAGAACCUUACCAAGUCUUGACAUCCCUUGACGAACAUAGAAAUAUGUUUUCUCUUCGGAGCAAGGAGACAGGUGGUGCAUGGUUGUCGUCAGCUCGUGUCGUGAGAUGUUGGGUUAAGUCCCGCAACGAGCGCAACCCUUAUUGCCAGUUACUACGCAAGAGGACUCUGGCGAGACUGCCGUUGACAAAACGGAGGAAGGUGGGGAUGACGUCAAAUCAUCAUGCCCUUUAUGACCUGGGCUACACACGUACUACAAUGGCGUUUAACAAAGAGAAGCAAGACCGCGAGGUGGAGCAAAACUCAAAAACAACGUCUCAGUUCAGAUUGCAGGCUGCAACUCGCCUGCAUGAAGUCGGAAUUGCUAGUAAUCGCGGAUCAGCAUGCCGCGGUGAAU